rnacentral:rRNA from 1 species
GACUGUACAAAGGUAGCAUAAUCACUUGUCUCUUAAUUGGAGUCUGGAAUGAAUGGUUUGAUGAAAAAUUUUCUUUCUUUAUUUUAAAUAUAAAAUUUGAUUUUUGAAUUAAAAAGUUCAAAUUUUGAUGGAGGACGAGAAGACCCUAUAGAACUUUAUUUGUUUUAAAUUAAUAAACUUUUGUUUAUUUUUUUAAAUAAAUUUAAAACAAAUUUUGUUGGGGUGACAAAAAAAAUUUUAUAACUUUUUUUAUUUAUAUCAUUUAUAUAUGUUUAAUUGAUCUUUUAAUGGGAAAAUAAGAUUAAGUUACCUUAGGGAUAACAGCGUUAUUACUUUAGAGAGUUCAUAUUGAUAAAGUAGUUUGCGACCUCGAUGUUGGAUUAAAAUUAGUUUUAGGAGCAGAAGAUUAAAUAACUAGGUCUGUUCGACCUUUAAAAUUUUACA